UGGGUGAUCUGCCCUGCACUUUGGGAUAAGCCUGGGAAACUGGGUCUAAUACCGAAUACACCUCAUGGACUGCAUGGUUUGUGGGGGAAAGCUUUUGCGGUGUGGGAUGGGCCCGCGGCCUAUCAGCUUGUUGGUGGGGUGAUGGCCUACCAAGGCGACGACGGGUAGCCGGCCUGAGAGGGUGUCCGGCCACACUGGGACUGAGACACGGCCCAGACUCCUACGGGAGCA
rnacentral:rRNA from 1 species